UUUUAUGUGAUGAUAAGUUUAUUCUUAACAAAAUGCUGUUGAUCUACAACUUAAAACUAAACCAAAAGGAUUCUGAUGAUAAU
rfam:Drosophila virilis strain TSC#15010-1051.87 Ctg01_14895, whole genome shotgun sequence.